rnacentral:rRNA from 1 species
AGGGUUUGAUUAUGGCUCAGAACGAACGCUGGCGGCAUGGAUUAGGCAUGCAAGUUGAACGAUCCACUUCGGUGGGGAGUAGCGGAAGGGUGAGGAACGCGUGAGUAAUCUGCCCCUUAGUUGGGAAUAACAGUUGGAAACGACUGCUAAUACCGAAUGUGGCUGAGUUUGCGCAUGCAGACUUGGCUAAAGAUUUAUCGCUAAGGGAUGAGCUCGCGUCCCAUUAGGUAGUUGGUGAGGUAACGGCCCACCAAGCCGACGAUGGGUAGCUGGUCUGAGAGGAUGGUCAGCCACACUGGGACUGAGACACUGCCCAG